UACAGAGGUCUCAAGCGUUUGUUCGGAUUCAUUGGGCGUAAAGGGUGCGUAGGUGGCGCUGUAAGUCAGGUGUGAAAUUUCGGAGCUCAACUCCGAAACUGCAUUUUGAUACUGCGGUGCUUGAGGACUGGAGAGGAGAUUGGAAUUCACGGUGUAGCAGUGAAAUGCGUAGAUAUCGUGAGGAAGACCAGUGGCGAAGGCGGAUCUCUGGACAGUUCCUGACAC
rnacentral:rRNA from 1 species